GAAAUAACGGUGAAGAGGAGUAGUAGUGAACAAAACGGGCAACAGAGAGUUGACGGCUGGUGCGAGUCAACCGAAGUUUGUUCACGAACUCGCCUCGGAGUUGCGGGCAUGAGCGGCUUUCGCCUCGUAAUGUCCGCCGUGAAUCUGCGUUAAUGAUGAGAGUGAGCACGUGCGCCGUCGCGUGCUAAUAAGGGUGGUACCGCGGGAAUUUUCACCUCUCGUCCCUUUU
rnacentral:ncRNA from 1 species